GGGGCAGGAAAGGGUCUGCAACAAAAGUCCCAUGAGGAGCAGCUGAGGGAAGUGGGACUGUUCAGUGCAGACGAGGCUCGGGGGAGGCCUGAGCACUGCGCAUCACUCCCUGUAAGGAGGUUGUAGUAAGGUCGGGGUCGGCCUCUUCCCCACGUAACAGCGACGGGACGAGAGGGAACGGCCUCAAGUUGCCCCAGGGGAGGACCCCGUUGGAUAUUAGGAAGAACACCUCUGCUGAAAGAGCAGUCGGGCACUGGCACAGCUGCCCGGGGAGCUGCGGGAGUCAGCGUCCAUGGAGGUGUUCCAGAACCGUGGGGAUGUGGCACUGAGGGGUGCGGGCAGCGGGCAGCUGCGGGGGUGGACGGUGGCACUUGGUGAUCUUAGAGGUCUUUGCCAACCAGAGAGAUUCUGUCAUUCUGUGAAUGGAGCCAUUUAUUGCAACGAGAGGUAAUCAGCAGCAAACAACCAAAGAGGAACGCCUCGAGAACAUCACGGGAACACGGAAACACUUGACUGGGAUACUGAUGGAGCCACAGGCCCGGCAGCAUUCAGGUGUGGCCAGGAGGCUGGAUGUGUGGCCCAGUGCCUUCAGCAGCACCAACACGCCGGGUUCCUGCGGGGCUGCGUCCGGCACCGG
rnacentral:lncRNA from 1 species